AUGGUGGACUAUAGGACAGGACUGCUGCUUCUAACUAUCUGCUGGACAGGUGUUGAUGGUCAGACUCUGACAGAAUCUGAACCAGCAGUUAAAAAACCUGGAGAAUCCCACAAACUGACGUGUAUAACCUCUGGAUUGUCAUUCAGCAGCUAUGGUAUGGCCUGGAUCAGACAGGCUCCUGGAAAAGGACUGGAGUGGAUUGCUUAUAUCAGCAGUGAUGGUAGUAGCUACAUCUACUACUCUCAGUCAGUUCAAGGCCGGUUCACCAUCUCCAGAGACAACAGCAGACAGCAGCUGUAUCUGCAGAUGAACAGUCUGAAGACUGAAGAUUCUGCUGUUUAUUAUUGUGCUCGACACUCACAGUGA